rnacentral:rRNA from 1 species
UGUUCCUACGGGGGGCAGCAGUGAGGAAUAUUGGUCAAUGGGCGGAAGCCUGAACCAGCCAAGUCGCGUGAGGGAUUAAGGCCCUAUGGGUCGUAAACCUCUUUUGUCGGGGAGCAAAGAGACCACGUGUGGUCAAAAGCGAGAGUACCCGAAGAAAAAGCAUCGGCUAACUCCGUGCCAGCAGCCGCGGUAAUACGGAGGAUGCGAGCGUUAUCCGGAUUUAUUGGGUUUAAAGGGUGCGUAGGCGGGACGGUAAGUCAGCGGUAAAAAUGCGGAGCUCAACUCCGUCGAGCCGUUGAAACUGU